rnacentral:rRNA from 1 species
AGCACUCGAAACUGCCUUUCUUGAGUGAAGUAGAGGUAAGCGGAAUUCCUAGUGUAGCGGUGAAAUGCGUAAAUAUAGGAGGAACACCAGUGGCGAAGGCGGCUUACUGGGCUUUAACUGACGCUGAGGCUCGAAAGCAUGGGUAGCAAACAGGAUUAGAUACCCUGGUAGUCCAUGCUGUAAACGAUGAUUACUAGGUGUGGGGGGACUGACCCCUUCCGUGCCGGAGUUAACACAAUAAGUAAUCCACCUGGGGAGUACGACCGCAAGGUUGAAACUCAAAGGAAUUGACGGGGGCCCGCACAAGCAGUGGAGUAUGUUGUUUAAUUCGAAGCAACGCGAAGAACCUUACCAGGUCUUGACAUCCUAUGACCGCCUAAGAGAUUAGGAAUUCCCUUCGGGGACAUAGAGACAGGUGGUGCAUGGUUGUCGUCAGCUCGUGUCGUGAGAUGUUGGGUUAAGUCCCGCAACGAGCGCAACCCUUAUGUUUAGUUGCUACGCAAGAGCACCCUAGACAGACUGCCGUUGACAAAACGGAGGAAGGUGGGGAUGACGUCAAAUCAUCAUGCCCCUUAUGACCUGGGCUACAAACGUACUACAAUGGCCAUUAACAAAGGGAAGCAACCCGGCGACGGGAGGCAAAACUCUAAAAAUGGUCCCAGUUCAGAUUGCAGGCUGCAACUCGCCUGCAUGAAGGCGGAAUUGCUAGUAAUCGCGGAUCAGCAUGCCGCGGUGAAUACGUUCCCGGGCCUUGUACACACCGCCCGUCACACCAUGAGAGUUGGCAACACCCGAAGUCAGCAGGCUAACGCAAGAAGCCGCUGCCGAAGGUGGGGUUGACGAUUGGGGUGAAGUCGUAACAAAGGUAGCCGUAGCC